CAACAGUUUCAGACUCCUGAAGAGAUCAUUUACAUUGAGCCAACAUUCACAGAAGUCAAGCGCAUAAAACAAAUGUAAAAGAGGAAGCUCAAGUAGAGUAUGCACCAAUUGCCAUGAGAAGAUAACAUAUUUUUUCUAAGUACCAGACCUGACAAGCAAGUUCUUUAAAAAUUAUAAAUGAGUAUUGGGAUUGUUGACAAUCACUACAUGUAGUAUCUAAAGUCCUGUUCACACCGGCAGUGACUAAAACCAUGCACUUUUCCACGAUUUCCAAUAAAUGACAGGCUUGCACGCAGAAGUUUUGGAUCUGUUGUAAACUUCGGAUGCAAUUAAAUAUUUUCCGAGUACUGUGAA